AUGCAACUUGUCACCUGUGGUCGAACGACGGUCAACAUUAACGGCGAGAUUGGUCCCUACUUCCCCACCUUAUGUUGGGUGCGCCAGGGUGACCCGUUCUCCCCGUUCCUUUUUAACAUGGUUGUCGAUGCCCUUGUGGUCAUCCUUGAUAAGGCCAAAGCCUGCGGCCAUAUCCGGGGCAUUGUCCCCCACCUAGUGGACGGAGGAGGGGUUUCCCUCCUCCAAUACGCGGACGACACCAUAUGUUGGGGAACAUUGCAGAAAAUAAAUUUUUUUCUACGGCUUCACCAAGAUCAAUCUAUGAGUUCAUCUAGCAACGAGAGAGAGGAGUGCAUCUACAUACCCUUGUAG
rnacentral:rRNA from 1 species